GUUUCAUUUGGAUUUCAGUUUCCUGCUUCUGUCUAUAUCAUCUUACAGCUGUGGCACAGACAGAAAUCCAACAAGGGGAAACUCAUGAAGAUAUUAUCAUUUGAUACAGAACAAGAUUUGUACACAGCAAACAAGAUCACUAUGCUCGCUGUUGUAUUGGAUCACACGUCAGACAGGUGUCUAGGACUGUGAGAUGUAUUGGCGAGUAAUGCGUGCAGAUCCGAGUACAGUUGCCUUUUGCAGCUGACAUCAUCAUCAUCAUCAUCAUUAUCAUCAUCAGAGUUGCUACCACUGAUAAAAUCAAGCAAGUGAGCAUGAGUCUUUUUGUUCUUAUGCAGAGGCCAGAAAUCUUGUUGUUGCCAGUUCUUCAUUGCUGUAUACAAACAACCUUUCUUGCUAAAAAGAAGAACACUUGUGAAUAUGCCUGCACCCCUGUUGUGCUUGCAGUUAUUGUUUUUCAAAAGUUGGGAUCUCAAAAAGGAGAAAUUUUACUCAGGUACAGGGCACAGAGUGAUCUACCUAAAAGGAGAGAAAUGGAGGAGGAGGGCUUCCCCCAAAUAAGAACUUGCCUCCAAGAUGAAAUUUUCGUGCACUCACCACAUUCCUAACAUUGCAGAGAUUGAGACAGUGGAAAUCAUCAACACCCAGAACUCUUGUAUUUACAGCAUUAACAUUCCCUUGAUAACUUCUCCUUUACCAUUUCUUUUGUUGCCUAAAUUUUAGAUACCUAAAUGCACCUUUUAUAUAUUUACUUUUUUAUACUCUGCAUUUUAUGAGGCUUCCUGAAAUACUUUGACAGGCCACAAGCGGCCCAUGGGACAUAUGUGGUGCAGGUCUGCUUUAAGAGAAGCGCUGGAAUUAUUUUUUCCUUCCGAUGUUUUGGGGUGCAGCAUAUAAUUUCUUACAACCAGAUAUUCUGGGAAGAGAUGAUAGGAACUGAAGUUCAAGACAGCAGGAUGUACAAAGGAUGAGCAAAAAUGUAUUUGUUUCUCCGUGUAGUUGCUCUACUAUCUCCCCUCUCAUCUGUUUGCAAAUGUCUAGUAAUAGUGUAAAACCCAAACUGAUGUAGGAAUUUUUCAAAUGAUUUAGGACUGAAGUAGAAUUAGCCACAAAGAAAUUGUUUCUUCUGAUUCAUUAAAACAAGGGAAAGAACAAAGAGACCACUGGGAGCUGUCAGUCAACCUUGAAACUUUUGAAGCCUUGAAGCAUCACUUUGAAAAGCCACCAUGGUUCGGUUCAGCCUGCAGUGCAGUGAUAAUACAAGUGUCAGCUUGUCACAUUUGAUUUCCAUUCACACGGUGCAGGAGGGAGCAAGAAAAUGCAAGGGAAAGGCACAUUUCCUCACCACAAUUUUGCCGUCACACCCUUCUUUGCUCUAGCAAAUGCAGCCACAGCAGCACAAUCUGCACCGGUGCAGGAGGUGAUGGGAGAGGAAGCCACCCUGUCAUUCUUCUGCCUUUAGAAGGAAAGUACAGCCUCACAUCCUGUCAAAGCUUCUUUCUCUCAAGCUAACCACCAGAACUGGAGCUGCUGCACCUGCUCCUGUCAGCUGUAAGGAAAAUUUCAAGCAGAACAGAUGGGAGAAUGCAGACAGUGGAGGCAACUGUUGCCUAGCAAAAGAAAGCAAAAGAAACCCAAAUCCCAAACUGAGGAUCCUUUCAUUUUAGUACUAGGCCCUAAAAAGAUACCUAGUACCCUGAAUGUUUCAGCAUAUUUCUUUCAAAUAUCAGGGAAACCUUAAUAUUUUUCUCACAAAACCUGAUGGAAUCAGGAGUUUGUUUCUCCUACCUCUGAAACAAUGCAGCAACCAACCAUCUAUGAACAACUGCAACCAGCCCUGGUGACUUGCUAUACCCCUACUGUUUUUGAACUCCCUCAGUCAACUCAGUAUAAAUUGGAUUUUUUGAGGGAGGGGCAUGGCAAGAGAACACUCAACCAAUCAGCAACGUACACAGCUAACCCUACUCAUUUUUCUGGAGUUUCAGCCAUGUGAAAGUAAAUUUUUGAUAAAGAACUUCCAAC